rnacentral:rRNA from 1 species
GAUGAACGCUAGCGGCAGGCCUAAUACAUGCAAGUCGAACGGGUGGUCGCAAGACCCCUAGUGGCGCACGGGUGCGUAACGCGUAACCAACCUGCCCCCAUCUGGGCGAUAGCCCGCCGAAAGCCGGAUUAAUACCGCAUCUACCCGCAGCCUGGCAUCUGGCAACGGGGAAAGAUUUAUUCGAUCGGGUUGGGGUUCCGUUACAUUAGCUAGUUGGCGGCGUAAGGGCCCACCAAGCCGACAAUGUCUAUGCGACCUGAGUGGUUGCCCCCCCGCACUGGCACUGCGUUACGGGCCAGACUCCUACGGGAAGCAGCAUUUGGGAAUCAUGGGCAAGGGGCGUGAGCCUGCCCCCCCCAGGCCGCGUGCCGGAUCCAGGCCUUCUGGGUUGUAUUCGGCUUUUCACAGGGAAGAAACAGGCCUUGCGAGCUACACUGACGGUACCUGAGGAAUAAGCACCGGCUAACUCCGUG